AUUGAGUUUGAUCCUGGCUCAGGACGAACGCUGGCGGCGUGCUUAACACAUGCAAGUCGAGCGGUAAGGCCCCUUCGGGGGUACACGAGCGGCGAACGGGUGAGUAACACGUGAGCAAUCUGCCCUUCACUUUGGGAUAACUCUGGGAAACGAGAGCUAAUACCGAAUACGACCACUUCAGGCAUCUGAUGGUGGUGGAAAGUUCCGGCGGUGAAGGAUGAGCUCGCGGCCUAUCAGCUAGUUGGUGGAGUAACGGCCCACCAAGGCUUCGACGGGUAGCCGGCCUGAGAGGGCGACCGGCCACACUGGGACUGAGACACGGCCCAGACUCCUACGGGAGGCAGCAGUGGGGAAUAUUGGACAAUGGGCGAAAGCCUGAUCCAGCAACGCCGCGUGAGGGAUGACGGCCUUCGGGUUGUAAACCUCUUUCAGUAGGGACGAAGCGCAAGUGACGGUACCUACAGAAGAAGCACCGGCCAACUACGUGCCAGCAGCCGCGGUAAAAU
rnacentral:rRNA from 1 species